CAGGCCUAACACAUGCAAGUCGAACGGUAGCACAGAGAGCUUGCUCUCGGGUGACGAGUGGCGGACGGGUGAGUAAUGUCUGGGAAACUGCCCGAUGGAGGGGGAUAACUACUGGAAACGGUAGCUAAUACCGCAUAACGUCUUCGGACCAAAGUGGGGGACCUUCGGGCCUCACACCAUCGGAUGUGCCCAGAUGGGAUUAGCUAGUAGGUGGGGUAAUGGCUCACCUAGGCGACGAUCCCUAGCUGGUCUGAGAGGAUGACCAGCCACACUGGAACUGAGACACGGUCCAGACUCCUACGGGAGGCAGCAGUGGGGAAUAUUGCACAAUGGGCGCAAGCCUGAUGCAGCCAUGCCGCGUGUAUGAAGAAGGCCUUCGGGUUGUAAAGUACUUUCAGCG
rnacentral:rRNA from 1 species